rnacentral:rRNA from 1 species
UGCGAAACUCGAAUGAACGAACGGGGAGAUUCAUCGUUAUUCCGCGGCGUGGCGGCUAGCUAUUCGAUACCGUCGGUUUCGACCGUUCGGUACGUGGUGUGCCGUUUCGACGUUCGCKGACGGCGUGCACUUCUCCUUUAGUAAUACWUCGCGACCCGUUCGAUGACGGUCUAAGCGCCGCGCGGGAGUCUCUCGAGCUAGUUUCGAUUAGCUCGGGCGACCGCUGCGGUUCGCCGACCGUCUGUCGGACGGUAUUUUAACGGAUCGCGUACGCGUUUUUUUUACGCGUCCGGCCCGACGCAAGGCUACGUCGUUCACCCCCGUCCUGCCCGAGUGCGGGCGGGGGUGCGGCGCGCCUGUAUGUCGCAGCCGUGCUGUCUCGGACUGUACGCGUACCGUGUCUGC